CUGGGAUAUUACCUGCUAAUACACUUGGAAAUGUACAGUAUUUAUUCAUUUAGUUAAGAUUCAGAUGGAGAUUUCAUGCUCUGAAUGUGUAUCAGGCAAAUUUGCAUCUGAUUAAAUUUCCCUCGCUUUUUUUAUUCUCACUUAAAAGCUGAAAUCAGAGCCAAACAAACAAAACAAAGAGUGCUCGACCUUCAACAAUGCAGAAUUCAAUUACCUGAAUUCUCACAGAACUAACCAAUAACACACCUACACUAAAAAAAAUUAAAACAGCUCUAUUCCUGCAGUUCUUCUUCUCCUGUCAGAUUAACUCUAAUUCUAAUUCUCUUCUCUGCUGAAACUGAGUCUCAGUUCUUAAUCAUGUUAAUCUGAGCUAAAGGCUAAAGCUGCUGUUUCCAUGUGGGUCAGCCAGACGUCUUCCUGCAGCAGUUUUUUUUCUCCAGUUUCCAAGAGUCUUUAUUUGAAGGUAUAGGAAACAAUACUCCCCUUGUGAAAAGGAAGUAUACUUAAGAAUAUUAAAGAUAUGUUUAAUUUUUAUUUAAUAUACUUUUUGAAAAUACAAAAUAAAUACACUUAAAGUGCACUUUAGUGUAGUUUUUUUAGUAGUGUUACAGUGUUAACUUGUGCAUCAAUACACAAAGUAGUACAUUUAAAAUAUACUUCAAGUGUAUUAAAAUUAUGUUUAUUAAACACAUACCGUAUUUUUCGGACUAUAAGGCGCACCGUAUUAUAAGACGCACUAUCAAAGAACGCCUAUUUUCUGGUAUUUUUCCAUACAUAGGGCGCAUCGCAUUAUAAGGCGCGUUAAGUGACACUAGAAAGGGUGCCUAUAUCAAAGUGAACAGGGGUGGCGCCAUGUUUCCCUUCCCCCACGGGGGGGGGGGGGUGUCUUGCCGGUGGAGCGUCUCAGUAUAUAAAUCUAGCUCUUUCAAAGUCAAACGAGUGCUGGAUAUUAAUCUACACAGAUUCCUCUCCUGAAAACUGUUUAUUUGGGGGACAACAUGGCCCUGCUUCUGCUGCAAAUAUGGCUCUCCUGUUUGUCAGACUCAGUCUAUCACUCAGGAUGAAUGGUCUUGAUGGGGCGGAGUAACAAAACAUGGUCCCAGCUAUUGGGAAAAGGCACGGUUUAUCCCUCUAUAUCACUUUCGCAUCCUUGUUGUUGGACUCUUUGUGUCUAGUAUGGUUAUCAGGAGUCUGAAUGGCUGACCUUAGUCAUGGCUUAGCCGUUCCAAUAAACACUCCACCAAAAACA
rnacentral:lncRNA from 1 species